GACAGAGGGUGCAAACGUUUGUUCGGAAUUACUGGGCGCAAAGCGCGUGUAGGCUGCUCGGAAAGUCGGAUGUGAAAGCCCCUGGGCUCAACCCAGGAACUGCGUCCGAUACUGGUUGGCUUGAAUCCGGGAGAGGGACGUGGAAUUCCAGGUGUAGCGGUGAAAUGCGUAGAUAUACGGAGGAACACCAGAGGCGAAGGCGGAUCGCUGGGCCAACACUGACGCUGAGACGCGAAAGCUAGGGUAGCAAACGGG
rnacentral:rRNA from 1 species